rnacentral:rRNA from 1 species
AUUGAACGCUGGCGGCAGGCCUAACACAUGCAAGUCGGGCGGAGCGGCGGACGGGUGAGUAAUACGUGGGUAACCUGCCCUCCUUUUUGGGAUAAGCCUUGGAAACGGGGUCUAAUACCGAAUAACGGGGGAUGGGCUCGCGGCCUAUCAGCUUGUUGGUGGGGUGAUGGCAUACCAAGGCGGUGAGGGGUAGCCGGCCUGAGAGGGUGACCGGACGUAUUGGGAAGGAGGUACGGCCAGGAGUCCUACGAGAGGCAGCAGUGGGGGAUGUUGCACAAGGGGCGUGAGACUGAUGCAGCGACGCCGCGUGGGGGAUGAGGGCUUUCAGGUUGUAAACCUCUGUCGCUGUCGAACGGGUAGGUGGAGAAGAAGCACCGGCUAACUACGUGCCAGCAGCCGCGGUAAUUC